UUUCUUGUAAAACACAACCCUCGAAAUCAGUGGCUAUUUCAACGCACUGGCGGUGUGGUUUCACAAACAGAAAAACUAAUCAAAAAAAUAUUAAAAUCAUUGUGACAGCAGUCAAUUUUCAGUGUAGUGAUGCAGGCGAAUACCAUUGUACAAUUACUUUAUCAAGUGGUAAAUUAUUUUCUACUAGUCCUGUGAACAUAACAGCCAAAGCUCCGAUAUCUGAUCAUAAAAUUCAGAUUAAUCUACACAAUGGAAAUGAUAGUUACUCAUCAACUAAUUAUGUAGAAGAAAGUAUAAUUUUGACUUGCACAGUCACAGGUCCUCCUAGUCUUUUAAUAACUUGGAACCAGACAGCAAAAGGCUCAACUAAAGAAAAUCCAGCAACUGGUAAGAUCAGUUCUAACAGCACAUCAGAAUCUGUUGUUUCUGCUGGAUGUGAAUUUUAUCAUUAUUCUUCAAAACUAGACUUUGAGCUCCAAGAAACUGAUGAUGGUAACACUUACUACUGUAUAGUUUCAAACGAUACUGGUGAACAGAGCAGAGAAAACUUCACUCUUCGUAUUAUCCCAUUUAUUAAAUCAACAAGUCAACCAGAAUCCCAAUCAGCUGGUACUGGC
rnacentral:sRNA from 1 species